CGCAAUGGGCGAAAGCCUGACGGAGCAAUACCGCGUGAAGGAUGAAGGCCUAUGGGUCGUAAACUUCUUUUCUCAGAGAAGAAUUUUGACGGUAUCUGAGGAAUAAGCAUCGGCUAACUCUGUGCCAGCAGCCGCGGUAAGACAGAGGAUGCAAGCGUUAUCCGGAAUGAUUGGGCGUAAAGCGUCUGUAGGUGGUUUACCAAGUCUUCUGUCAAAGAUCAGGGCUUAACUCUGGGCAGGCAGGAGAAACUAUUAGACUAGAGUUCGGUAGGGGCAGAGGGAAUUCCCGGUGGAGCGGUGAAAUGCGUAGAUAUCGGGA
rnacentral:rRNA from 1 species